CUUGUUUCUUUGCUCUCUGUUGUAAGUGUUCCUGUUCGAAGCUCUUUUUGCUGUGGUUUGUAGAAGGAUCCCACCCAGGCUGGCUGCUUGCUGGUAUGCUCUCAAAUUGCCAGAGCCUGGGCAUGGCACUUUGUUACUCCGUUGAGACAUUCGGGUGAAUUUGGCUAACUGUCCUGCUUCUGGAGAGCAAUGUCCCAUCUGGAAAGCCGUGAGCACAGCGCAUCCCCCCCGCUGGAGCUCUGCAAAACCCUGCAAGGAGCUGCAUGAGAACAAACAGGAAAGGCCUGUUUGUGCCUUUUGUACUGUGGAUGUUCCAGAGGUACAAACUGAGACCCACCAACAAGGCUCAGAUGCGACCUGUGCUAGAAUCCUCCCUAAAAUAAGGCUGAGCAAACCCAGUUCUAUCUGCCCUUCCUCACAUGGUUUACCAGUCAUUGGAUCAUCUUUGUGUCCCUUCUCUGGACCU